rnacentral:rRNA from 1 species
AAUAUUGCACAAUGGAGGGAACUCUGAUGCAGCAACGCCGCGUGAGUGAAGAAGGUUUUCGGAUCGUAAAACUCUGUCAUUGGGGAAGAAUAAAUGACGGUACCCAAUGAGGAAGCCCCGGCUAACUACGUGCCAGCAGCCGCGGUAAUACGUAGGGGGCGAGCGUUGUCCGGAAUUACUGGGCGUAAAGGGUACGUAGGCGGCUAUAUAAGUCAGGUGUGAAAUACCAGUGCUUAACACUGGAAUUGCAUUUGAAACUGUGUAGCUUGAGUGCAGGAGAGGAAAGUGGAAUUCCUAGUGUAGCGGUGAAAUGCGUAGAGAUUAGGAGGAACACCAGUGGCGAAGGCGACCACCUGGGCUAAUACUGACACUGAGGUGCGAAAGCGUGGGGAGCAAACA